rnacentral:rRNA from 1 species
GAUGAACGCUGGCGGCGUGCCUAAUACAUGCAAGUCGAGCGAACGGACGAGAAGCUUGCUUCUCUGAUGUUAGCGGCGGACGGGUGAGUAACACGUGGAUAACCUACCUAUAAGACUGGGAUAACUUCGGGAAACCGGAGCUAAUACCGGAUAAUAUUUUGAACCGCAUGGUUCAAAAGUGAAAGACGGUCUUGCUGUCACUUAUAGAUGGAUCCGCGCUGCAUUAGCUAGUUGGUAAGGUAACGGCUUACCAAGGCAACGAUGCAUAGCCGACCUGAGAGGAUGAUCAGCCACACUGGAACUGAGACACGGUCCAGACUCCUACGGGAGGCAGCAGUGGGGAAUAUUCCGCAAUGGGCGAAAGCCUGACGGAGCAACGCCGCGUGAGUGAUGAAGGUCUUCGGAUCGUAAAACUCUGUUAUUAGGGAAGAACAUAUGUGUAAGUAACUGUGCACAUCUUGACGGUACCUAAUCAGAAAGCCACGGCUAACUACGUG